GAAUGGGUCUGGGGCAUCCAAAGACGCAGUGGAACUUGGCAUGGCCGCCAGGAGCCCAGGCUGGGACAUGGGUCUACGUGAGCACUGAGAUGAGGGGCUGGGGGCACGGGGACUCGAUGAGGGCUGAGAGACUGGACCACUGGGGACCCAUGCACUCUGACACUGAGUCACAGGAUGCCUGAGAGGGGCACUGGAGGGGCACGUGCUACAGUACCCGACUCCAGUUGAUGAGGAGACAUUCAGUCAGAAGGCACGUCACCCAGGCACUUGGUAGCACAGUUAUAGGGGUGCAAGACACCCAGAUUCUUGGGUCAGUGGAGUUCAUGUCCUUCUGAUGCUCCUCAGAUGGGGGCUGCAGAACUCCAGGGAAGGCCAUGGACCCUGGAUGCUCAGGGGGAGGUGGUCUGCCUGGCCCCAGGCAUGAACGGGGCACAGAGGUGCUGGACAACGUGGCUGAUAGGCCUGGACAGGAUGAAUGGGCAGCAGCAUCCAAGGACGCAAUGGGACUUGGAACUGGUACUGGGUCCUCGCCUGGGACGCGGGCUCUUGUGAAAGACAUUGAGAGACAGCCGGGGGGUGCUGGGCUGCCAGAGCCCCUGAUGAGGGGGGGCACGCUGUCCAGACCCUUGGGUAAUGAGGGAAGAGGGGGACAUGAGGAUGGCAGCAUGGCGCCCAGCUCACUAAGGCUUAGUGGAAACUGGGCUUCAAGGACUGUGCGUGACAUUUGAGGUCCCUGUUACCUGGGUGUGUGGAGGAGUGGGGAACAGGCUACCAGACAGAGGCCAGGGAUAGAGUCUGGAGCCUGGGCAGGGGCUACAGGAAGAGGGGCCAGGCUGCAGGUGGCCAAGAGGCCAAGUAUCCACUCAUUCUGAGGGGCCAC
rnacentral:lncRNA from 1 species